GAUGAAGAACGCAGCGAAAUGCGAUAAGUAAUGUGAAUUGCAGAAUUCAGUGAAUCAUCGAAUCUUUGAACGCACAUUGCGCCCGCCAGUAUUCUGGCGGGCAUGCCUGUUCGAGCGUCAUUUCAACCAUCAAGCCCCCGGCUUGUGUUGGGGACCUGCGGCUGCCGCAGGCCCUGAAAACCAGUGGCGGGCUCGCUAGUCACUCCGAGCGUAGUAAUACAUCUCGCUCAGGGCGUGCUGCGGGUUCCGGCCGUUAAAAAGCCUUAUUUACCCAAGGUUGACCUCGGAUCAGGUAGGAAGACCAGCUGAACUUAAGCAUAUCAAUAAGUGGAGGA
rnacentral:misc_RNA from 1 species